rnacentral:tRNA from 1 species
GACAGACUGACCGAAUGGUUAAGGUGCUUGGCUGCAAACCAUGUUUUUGCAGGUUCAAUUCCUGCGUCUGUCA